GUGGCAGUGCCCAGCUGGCUCCAUCGGCCAGACCCCAAAACAUCGCAGGGGAGGAGGUUGAGGGAAGUGGCUCCAGCGAGCCCGGAGCCGUGCUGCCAGCUUCCCUGCGCCUCGCCGCCGUGCAGGAGAGGUUUGCUGGGCGGCUCUAAACACAGCCCUGGCCCGAGAGCAGGAGCCGUGCGGCUGCCAGGGGAGAGCAGAGCCCACGCAGCUAAUUAGGGACUCGAGGGACGCGUGUGCGCGCCAGCCAUCUGGAGGGGUCGUUAGCAGCGGGCGAAGCUCGGGAGCAAACGCCGAGUUGAUGUUGGAGAAACAUCAACCAAACUCUGAAGGCAGAGACUGCUUUCUUCACAGCUGUUUCUCUUCCCUGAAGUCUGCUGGAUAGACACGAUGCCGUGUCAAUGUUUUGGGGGUUCGGGUACGUGGUGCAGCAGCUCCCGCGGCUGCUGCCUGCCAAACCUGGCAGGGCACCGGUGCCUUGCACAGCCUCUGUGGGUCUGCAUGGCAGCUCUCGGUCUUGUUUCCAGUAAGACACUGGCCAAAGCCAGCUCCUGUUAGCAAUGCAUCUUGUCUCCCCAACAGCAUCCCAGGGCAGCGAUGUCUUCCCGUGGCUUAAGUCUGUUCCUGCUCUACGAGCCAUUCAGGCGCACGCUCGGGACCUCUUAAUUUCGGGGGCAUUUGUGUCCAUCUGGGUCAAACCCAGGUUGUAGAUGCUUUUAUUAAAGCAGAGGCACAGUUAA